UACGGAGGGAGCUAGCGUUAUUCGGAAUUACUGGGCGUAAAGCGCACGUAGGCGGCAUUGCAAGUCGGAUGUGAAAUCCCUCGGCUUAACCAAGGAAGUGCAUCCGAAACUGCAGUGCUUGAGUACUUAAGAGGAUCGCGGAAUUCCCGGUGUAGAGGUGAAAUUCGUAGAUAUCGGAAGGAACACCAGUGGCGAAGGCGGCGAUCUGGGAAGAUACUGACGCUGAGGUGCGAAAGCGUGGGGAGCAAACAGG
rnacentral:rRNA from 1 species